GACGAACGCUGGCGGCGUGCUUAACACAUGCAAGUCGAACGGAAAGGCCCCUUUGGGGGUCCUCGAGUGGCGAACGGGUGAGUAACACGUGAGUAACCUGCCCUUGCCUUCGGGAUAACUUCAGGAAACUGGGGCUAAUACCGGAUAGGAAUCCUUGCUGCAUGGUGGGGGUUGGAAAGCUUCGGCGGUUUUGGAUGGACUCGCGGCUUAUCAGCUUGUUGGUGGGGUAGUGGCUUACCAAGGCUUUGACGGGUAGCCGGCCUGAGAGGGCGACCGGCCACAUUGGGACUGAGAUACGGCCCAGACACCUACGGGAGGCAGAAGUGGGGAAGAGUGAACAAGGGGCGGAAGCCUGAUGCAGAAACGCCGCGGGCGGGAUGACGGCCUUCGGGUUGUAAACCGCAUUCAGCAGGGGCGAAGCUUGUGGUGACGGUACCUGCAGAAGAAGCACCGGCUAACUACGUG
rnacentral:rRNA from 1 species